CCACUGGAUGAUGAUUCUGCCAAGGCAAUCGACAUGAUAAAUGAAAGGAUGAGCAAUAAUGAAAGAUCUACCGACCAACCUCCUCACAAUAUUGCUUGGGAAGGUGAUGUGUAUUCUCAAGUGUUGGGAAA